rnacentral:rRNA from 1 species
GUUAGUUGCCAUCAUUCAGUUGGGCACUCUAGCAAGACUGCCGGUGACAAACCGGAGGAAGGUGGGGAUGACGUCAAAUCAUCAUGCCCCUUAUGACCUGGGCUACACACGUGCUACAAUGGGAAGUACAACGAGUUGCGAAGUCGCGAGGCUAAGCUAAUCUCUUAAAGCUUCUCUCAGUUCGGAUUGCAGGCUGCAACUCGCCUGCAUGAAGCCGGAAUCGCUAGUAAUCGCGGAUCAGCACGCCGCGGUGAAUACGUUCCCGGGCCUUGUACACACCGCCCGUCACACCACGAGAGUUUGUAACACCCGAAGUCGGUGAGGUAACCUUUUUGGAGCCAGCCGCCUAAGGUGGGAUAGAUGAUUGGGGUGAAGUCGUAACAAGGUAGCCGUAUCGGAAGGUGCGGCUGGAUCACCUCCUUUCUAAGGAA